GAAGUUCCAAACAAAAUCGAUCCGGAAUCAAUUGAAUUCCGGAUACUAAUACCUCUUUAUUGAUUGCAAGAUUAGAAGAAGACAAUAAAGAACCCUAAUUGAUUCCCUGAAUCAAUUACACAUUACAAGAUUGAUUCCCUGAAUCAAUUCCCCUUCCUACACAAUACUUCAAAACUACUCACACUAACCCCCCCUCACUCCUAUUUAUAGGAUUCUGCCUCCCCCUACCCACGACAGUUACCAAAACUGCUGCAUGGGUUUAUUCCCCUGCUGCCACGUGGCCUUCUAUGGUACACUCUUGUGAUGGGUGGUCUCUCCCACACCCUAUCAAUACCCCCUCCCAGAAGAACCAACUUGUCCUCAAGGACAAAUUGAGGAAAAGCUUCUUCAUUUGCGCCACCGACUCCCAAGAAUUCUCACACUCUUCGACAAAUCUUCCCACUACACCAACACUUCAACAUUCCCACUCUGAUCAACCCAGUGUUGCAAGAUUUCCGUCGGUUGCACCUUCAACUCCAACUCCUCGGACAACAUCAUUGGAAGGGGCUGAGGUUGUUGAGCCGGUUUCAAAGCCCUUUUCAACAAAGAAACAGGGAACACAGGAUGAACUCGUGUAUGAUCCGGCAAUGCCAACCGGUAAGCCACCAGCCCAAUGCGCUCCAAAAUCCGAUAUGGCCCAUAGAACUUAGCUGACAAUUUGGCCGAAGGUCUUGAAGCAGUCUUCAACCUAUACGGUUGAAGUUUCAAGAACACCCAAUCUUCCACCUCAAAUUCAACCUCACUCCUAUUUUUAUCUGCCUGAGCCUUCAUCAAAUCUUGGGCACGUAACAGAUUCUGCCUCAACUCUUGAAGGACCUCAUCUCGGGCAACCAAGAGCUGAUUUACUUCCUCAACCUUCGACGUAAAAGUACACCCCUUAAUCAAAAUCGGAGGAUCCCUCCCAUAUAAGGCUUUGAAAGGAGUCAUACCUGUAGAAACGUUGUAAGUAGUGUUAAACCAAAACUCGACCCAUGAAAGUCAUUCUCCCCAUUUCUUUGGCUUAGGCCCCACAAAGCAUCGAAGGUAUGUUUCCAAACUGUGAUUCACCAUCUCAGUUUGCCCAUCCAUUUGAGGAUGGUAAGCCGUGUUGUACUUCAAACGAGUACUUGUCAACCGGAACAACUCCUGCCAGAAUUGGCUCAAAAAGACCUGAUCAGAAACUAUUGAUGAUGGAAACCCAUGUAGCUUCACCACUUCUCUAACAAACACGGAAGCUACAUCCUUAGCCGAAUAGGGAUGGCCAAGAGGAUAAAAGUGGGCAUACUUUGUGGGCCGAUCCACCACUACCAAAAUGGUAUCCUUGCCACUAGACCGUGGCAAUCCGGAUAUGAAAUCCAUCGAGAUGUCCUGCCAUACCUGAGUAUGAAUAGGUAGUGGCUGCAAAACCCCUCCAGGUGCUAAAGUGAAAUACUUUUGGUGUUGACACACAUCACACGCCUCGACAUACUGCUUCACAUAACCAUGCAUGCCAUCUCAAUAAAAGAAACUAGAAACCCGUUUGUAAGUGCGGAAGAACCCAGAGUGACCAGCGGCUACACUGUCAUGGCACUCGGCUAAAAUCAGAGGCAACUUGUCAGACGUCUUGGACAACACCAAUCACCCCUUAUACAAUAAACGUUCGGCCUGAAACUGGAACCCCAUAUGAUAGUCUGAAUUUUCUGCCAAAUCCUGGAUUACCCUUCUCCACUUAGGUUCCUGCUGAACCUCUUGGAACCAACCCUCGACAUCUCCAACAUUAAUCACUGAGAUUGCCGAAUAAUAGGCCUUCCUCGAUAAUGCAUCAGCCAUAAAAUUUUCCUUUCCGGGUUUGAACUGAAUCUCAAAAUUCAAACCAAUGAGUUUUAUUGCCCAUUUAAAUUGUUCCUCACUGAAAAGCCUCUGAUCUGUAAUGAAUUUCAAACUCCUUUGGUCCGUUUUAAUGACAAAGUGGCGGCCCAUACUGCACGGUCUGAACCAAUGCCAUCAAUUCUCGCUCAUAAACCGACUUCAAAUGGGAUCUCGCUAACAACCCCUUACUCCAAAAAGCUAAAGGGCGACCUUCUUGUAUCAACACUGCCCCAAUCCCCUUACUAGAAGCAUCGGUUUCCAACACAAAGGUCUUCGUGAAGUCUGGCACGACCAACACCGGUAAAUUGACCAUGGCUGCCUUGAGGGUCUGGAAGGCCAUAGUGGCAUCUUCGGUCCACACGAAGUUAUCAUUUUUCAAUAAAUCUUGAGAGGCUUGGCAAUUCUCCCAUAUCCUUGCACAAACCUACGGACUGCGGUAAUAACCUGUGAGGCCCAGAAAUCCCCUUAAACUCUUUAAAUCACGGGGUAUAGGCCAAGAACUCAUAGUGGCCACUUUAGACUCAUCUGCCGCCACUCCAGAAUGAGAGAUAAUGUGGCCCAAAUAUUUUAAACUGGGCUUAACAAAACUACAUUUUUUCUUGUUGACCUUCAGCGAAUUGUCUCGCAGAGCAGUCAAAACCUCCCUCAACUGCUUCUCAUGAGACUCCUCAUCCGGACUAUAAAUCAAAAUAUCAUCGAAGAAGACCAAUGCAAAUCGUCGCAAGUAGGGUCGUAACACCUCAUUCAUAAGGGUCUGGAAGGUCGAAGGUGCAUUAGUGAGACCAAAAGGCAUCACAACAAACUCAUAAUGACCUUCAUGGGUUCGGAAAGUAGUCUUCUCCACAUCUUCACUCCGCAUCCGAAUCUGAUGAUACCUCGAUUUCAAGUCCAAUUUGGUGAAGACGGCGGCUCCUCCAAUCUCAUCCAACAACUCCUCAAUAAUCGGAAUAGGGAAUUUGUUCGGUAUGGUUACCUUAUUUAAGGCUCUAUAAUCCACACAGAACCUCCAUCCCCCAUCUUUUUUCUUCACCAAAAUGACAGGACUGGAAUAAGGACUGAUGCUAUGCUGAAUAACCCCAGACUCCAACAUUUCCUUAACCAGACCUUCAAUCUAUGUUUUCUGAUAGUGUGGAUAUUUGUACGAUCUAACAUUGGGGAUGAUUGCCCCCUCAAUCAGAUGUAUGGCAUGAUACUGCCUUCGGACUAGUGGCAAGCCGGUAGAAUCCUUGAACAACUCAUCAAAGUCUUCGAGCAACUGCAACAUUCGGACCGGAGUGCUCUCAACCCCCUCGCCCUUUCGACUUGAUGAUUCACACUACAUGAUUAAUCCCUCACCUUCGGCCCGAAGUACCUACAACAAUGCUCCAUAUGAAAGUUCAGUUUUAGCCAAGGCUGGAUUACCGGUGAUGCGAAUCAAAUUUUGUCCUUGUCUGACCGUGAGCUCCAGUUUACCAAAAUCAGCUUAGACCUCACCCAAUCCAGAUAACCAGUCUAAUCCCAACACUAGAUCAACCCCUUUGAGAGUGAAGAGAUAAAAAUCUUGGACCACCUCCUAAUUCUAUAUCUGGAAAGACAAUUGGGCGCAUUUCCCUCCACACUUCACCUUAUGUCCGUCUCCUACCUCCACCAUGUAAGAAGGAGUAUCCUGAACCACCAAAUUUAACUCUCUCACCACCUCAUUGGCUAUGAAGUUGUGAGAAGCCCCACAGUCAAUGAGCACAACAAUAGCUAUUCCCCUCAAUUAUCCCUUCUAUCUUCCAAGACCUUGUCGUGGUAAAGCCCGACAUGGAACACAAGGAUAACCGCAAAUCUUGGACCAAGUCCACAACUUCUUCCCCUCCACCUUCUUCCUCAUCCCCUGCCUCCAUAAUAAGCAUUCAGAAUUGCCUAUUUUUGCAUCGGUGGUCUCUAGUGUAAGGCUCAUCACAUCUAAAACAUAGCUCUUUGUCAUGCCGAUCUUUAACCUCAGCACUGGUUAAAUGUUUGAAUUCUCCUCCUCUUGGCCGAACACCCUCACUUCCUGGUUUCGGCUCAAAAUUCCCAAUAGUGUUACUUCCCCCGAAACUGUCUUGCCUUCCCUCCCCAACGGUUUUUGAUUCCACGGUCACAGUUCUAGAGUAAGGAUUGCUUCUCUGACUUCCUCCACUUCGGCUUGCAUAACCAUACGAGCCCCUCUUACUCAAUAUCACAUUCUUUUGUAUAAUUUCGGAUAAAGAAUGUAAUUCAUACAAUUUUACCUCGGCUCUAAGCUCCUCUUUCAAUCCAUUCAUGAAUAUGCCUCUUGCAAACUCUUGAUCAAUGGUUCUCAAAGCUCCAACAUCCUUCUCAAACUCCUCUACAAACUCUUCCACGCAACCUGUUUGCUUGAGAGCCAAUAACUGCUCAAACGGAUUCUGCAUCAUAGACGGCUGGAAUCUUCGAACCACAACGAUCUUGAAACCUUCCCACUUUGGCCUCGGGUUGCACUUUUCCCACCAAUGGUGCCAACUCAAAGCCUUCUCUUCAAGUGCCAUAAUCGUGGCUUGCAUUUUCUCGCCUUCCGUAAGCUCCUUGAGUUGGAAGUAUCUCUCCAACCGGUGAGUCCAUCCAAAUGCGUCGUCGUCGGAAAAAAUCGGAAUUUCCAAUUUUCUCCAUUUUUCCUGCCGAAAUUGGUCAUCUCCUUCAUGGAACUCCUCUCUCCCGUGGCUAGCCCUCUCUUGCCGAAACGGACCGUCGUUCCCGCGGAAAUCCUCUCCGCUGCGAUUGUCUUGGCCUCGGUGUUCCUGACUUCGCCUCUCGCUGCGGUCACGGCCAAUUCCGCCGUGAACAGAACUGGCGGUGUCGCCGCCGUGGUCAGCGUCGGCGGUGAAACCGUAGCGCUCCAUCUUCGCUGUCAUCUCCGCCAUUUGCUCCUCGUGCUUCUUCACCAAGGAUUCCGCAAAUUCCAAUCUCAUUCGCAUCUCUUCACGUUCUUGUUCCCAAUCAUCUCCGGACCGUGACAUGCUUCGAGUCUUCAUGAAUUAACAAUGAAUCAGCAGCAGUUUUCAGGGCACCGGAAUCGGUGCUCUGAUACCAGUGAUAACACCGGUAAAAGAAUGCACAAAAGAAGAAGUUCCGAACAAAAUCAAUCCGAAAUCAAUUGAAUUCCGGAUACUAAUACCUCUUUAUUGAUUGCAAGAUUAGAAGAAGACAAUGAAGAACCCUAAUUGAUUCCCUGAAUCAAUUCCCCUUCCUACACAAUACUUCAAAACUACUCACACUAACCUCCCCACUCCUAUUUAUAGGAUUUUGCUCCCCCUACCCACGGCAGUUACCAAAACUGCUGCAGGGGUUUAGUCCCCUGCUGCCACGCGGACUAUUGGCUGCCACAUGGCCUUCUACGGUACACCCUUGUGAUGGGUGGUCUCUCCCGCAC
rnacentral:lncRNA from 1 species